AAUAAACCAAUUUUUCACUUUUUACCUAUAAUGUUUGACUCUUCGUCUUAUUCAAAAAUUUUUUGCGAUUAACAAUUUUGUUUUUAUUAGAUAAUAAAUCAUGAAUAAUGUUUUAUAUGUGACUAACUUUUUUUAAUUUCUUGAAAAUUUUUCAAAUAAGAUGGAUGGUGCGGGACACAGAAACCAAAAAUUUGGUUUAUU
rnacentral:pre_miRNA from 1 species